rnacentral:rRNA from 1 species
UGGGGAAUAUUGGACAAUGGGCGAAAGCCUGAUCCAGCCAUGCCGCGUGUGUGAAGAAGGUCUUCGGAUUGUAAAGCACUUUAAGUUGGGAGGAAGGGCAUUAACCUAAUACGUUAGUGUUUUGACGUUACCGACAGAAUAAGCACCGGCUAACUCUGUGCCAGCAGCCGCGGUAAUACAGAGGGUGCAAGCGUUAAUCGGAAUUACUGGGCGUAAAGCGCGCGUAGGUGGUUUGUUAAGUUGGAUGUGAAAUCCCCGGGCUCAACCUGGGAACUGCAUUCAAAACUGACUGACUAGAGUAUGGUAGAGGGUGGUGGAAUUUCCUGUGUAGCGGUGAAAUGCGUAGAUAUAGGAAGUAACACCAGUGGCGAAGGCGACCACCUGGACUAAUACUGACACUGAGGUGCGAAAGCGUGGGGAGCAAACA